GGACCGCAACACCAUGUCUGCUGAUCUCCAAGCAAAAAAAAAAGAUGACUUGCUCCAAAACUUUGGCCAACUGAUUGCCUUGCCAAGAAGUGGUGUUGAAGCCAAGACCAUUACAUUUAAAAAAAAGGAAUUGGAUAAGUAUUGGAAGAGAAACGACACACUGGGGACAGAACGGAGAAUUGGGAUUAGGACAUGUAGCACCAAUAGAGGAGCUAGCACUAGUAUAGGCCUUAAUAGCCUCCUUCUGUGCUGUAAUUUCCAUGAUUUAUUUGGUAUGCUCAGUGCCAGCAAACAACAAAAAAAAUUACA